CUGGGAGUGGCAGUUGGGUCUUGUGACUAGCACUUCCUUCCUGCUGGGUGUGGCAGUGGGGUCUUCUGACUAGCACUUCCUUCCUGCCAUGGGGACUUGCUGGCUGGUGUUGGAGGAGAGAGGAGCUUCUUCAGCCGAGUCUGGUGUGGUGUGCCUCUUCUUGAUUCAGCCCGAAGACACAGGCUUCUGAAGGGAAGAUAGCUUAGCACCCUCCUGCACUUGAAAAAGAGAAUUUGGUUCAAUGAGUUCUGUAGGAGAGGUGUUCUGAGUACCCGAAGAGCCCUGAGAAUUUUAUCAUCAUCAUCAUCAUCAUCAUCAUCAUCAUCAUCAUCAUCAUCAUCAUCAUCAUCAUCAUCAUCUCCAGAAUGCUGCCUUCCUUACAAUUUUACUUCUUUGAUGAUGGCAGAGCCAGCACUGGCCAAAGGGAUAAGGUAGCAUUUGGAAGCAGAAUGGAAGCCAGAGUUAAUGAAUUUAAGAAAGGGAAAGAAAAUAAAAGAGUUGUGCAUCUUUAAAAUGUACAGGAAGGAAGAGAAGGAAAUCCAGAAAGAUAUAUAGACAAGAAGGAAAAAUUGGAAAACAAGUU
rnacentral:lncRNA from 1 species